rnacentral:misc_RNA from 1 species
GUGAGUCAUCGAAUCUUUGAACGCACAUUGCGCCCGCCAGUAUCCUGGCGGGCAUGCCUGUUCGAGCGUCAUUUCAACCCUCAGGCCCGGCCUGGUGUUGGGGACCUGCGCCUCGCAGCCCCCCAAAGACAGCGGCGGUCGCGCGUCGGCUCCCAGCGUAGUAUUUUGUCUCGCUGCGGGUGCCGCGCGCCGGCCGGCCGGAACCUCUCUUUUUACAUGGUUGACCUCGGAUCAGGUAGGAAUACCCGCUGAACUUAAGCAUAUCAAUAAGCGGAGGA